CAGCGUCCCCGCCGCACAGCCCUCGGAGGUCUGGAGCGAAGGGUUUAGAGGUCCCAGCCCUUGGCCCUCGCUGUCCUCCUCUCGCUCCCCCCUAAAGCUCCGGGCUGCGGGCUCACGGCAGAGAGAGAGCUCGCGGCUCCACGAGGAGGACGUACAGCUUCUUGGCUAAGCGCACCCGGACUUAACCAGAGCCUUGUUCCGACCUAAGAUGGCAAAGGAAGAAACGAGGGGCAGCCGCGGCUAGCGGGCGUUUACGGCGCGAGGCCCCCGAGACCGCCGGCCGCCGCCGCGACGCCCCUCUUCCUCCACGCCGGUCUCCCACACGCCGUCCCUGUCCCUGUGUGGCUGCCGCACGCGCAGGCCCUCGGCUCACCGGAACGCUCUGCCCGGACCCCCCUCGGGGCGGCCCUCGACAAGCGGCGGGAACACGCCGACACGGAGACCAACAGCGGGCUCGCGGCCCCGGGCGCCGGCGCGGCAGACGCCACGUUUACCCAGCAUGCUCCGGGCGGCCAGCGGCGGGCGGGCCACGGCCACGGCCACGGCCACGUGACGCGGGGGGCGCCGGGACCGCGCACUGCUCCCGUCUGCGGCUGCGCGGGGCGGGGCGGGGCGGGGCCCCCGGAGGCGGGAAGGCGGGAAGGCGGGAAGGCGGGAAGGCGGGAAGGCGGGCGGAAGGGAGGGCGGGCGGGGAGCCGGUGGCUGGCCGCUGGCGAGGACGAGGCGUCGGAGCCCGCGACGGACGUCGGCGGCUCUGUGGUUUGGGGCACGGAUGCACACCCAGGCCCGGCGCCUUCCCCCAGCAGGUCCGGCGGUCAUCCAUGAGCCCGGGCUCGCAGUGGGUCGGCGGGUUGGCGGGACCCCCGCUGCCGAGCGAAGGGCCGGGCGUCCCGGGAGCGCAGGGAACGCGGCCGCCGCCGGGGAUUCGCCCGGUGACCCGAGCUGCCGCGGUCCCCGGAAAGCUUGGCUCCGUCCGACCCGCAGGGGGAGGCGGCCUCGGCGUGAGGGGGGCCGCGGGGUGGGUCCUCGUGCCUCCCCGCUGCCGAGGCCGGGCCCUGAGCGGCCCCGAGCGGCCCCGCAGCCCGACUGCACGGGGACCGGGGCCCGCGGCGGGGCGGGGCGGGGCGGGGCAGGCGUCCCGCGGGGAGGGCACAGGCUGGCCCGGGGCGGCCCCCCGACCCCCGACCCCCGGGGCGGGACCCAGCGGCCCCCGUCGCGGCUGGGAGGGCGCAUCCUGCCGCCACCGACGCGCCGCCGGACGUCGAAUAAAGGACUCGCCCCAGCGGAGGCCCAGCUUCCUCCUGAACCUGCGGGGAACCCCGACGGCAGGACCCGCGGCCCCGGCGCUCGCCUCCGCGCUGCCGCCGCCCACGCCGCAGGCUUUGGCCGAGGCGGAGCCGGGGAUCCAGACACCACUGCCACCUGGCGGCCGCGCGCCCGAAGGAGAACCCCGGGCUCAUGGAUGUUCCCUCGGCAGAGGCCCAGGACCCCGGGGAGAGGGCGAGAGCCCAGCACUGCCCAGGACACCUUCUUGUUGAGAUGA
rnacentral:lncRNA from 1 species